CAAAAUUAAUGGAAGUGAAGCUAUUACCAAUUUUGACACAACUACUUAUGAUGGUGAAAUACUUCCUCAAACCAAUAAUAGUGGCACAAAUAGCAUUGAAUAAUAUGGAUGCUGCGAUACAAAGUUUCAAAAAAACACUAGAAUUAGAGCCAAAUGAUGG